AACGCGAAGAACCUUACCUGGGCUUGAACUGCACCGGACAAAGGUAGAAAUACCUCUCCCGCAAGGGCUGGUGUAGAGGUGCUGCAUGGCUGUCGUCAGCUCGUGCCGUGAGGUGUUGGGUUAAGUCCCGCAACGAGCGCAACCCUUACCCUUAGUUGCCACCCGCAAGGGGGAACUCUAAGGGGACUGCUCCGGAUAACGGAGAGGAAGGUGGGGAUGAGGUCAAGUCAGCAUGGCCUUUAUGUCCAGGGCUACACACGUGUUACAAUGCAUGGUACAGACCGUUGCAAACCCGCGAGGGGGAGCUAACCGGAAAAAACCAUGCUCAGUUCGGAUUGCAGUCUGCAACUCGACUGCAUGAAGCCGGAAUCGCUAGUAAUGGCGUAUCAGAACGACGCCGUGAAUACGUUCCCGGGCCUUGUACACACCGCACGA
rnacentral:rRNA from 1 species